rnacentral:rRNA from 1 species
AAACAACCCUGACCAACAGCUAAGGCCCCCAAUUCAUGGCUAAGUGGGAAAGCAUGUGAGACUUCCAAAACAACCAGGAGGUUGGCUUAGAAGCAGCCAUCCUUUAAAGAUAGCGUAACAGCUCACUGGUCUAGUCAAGAGGUCUUGCGGCGAAGAUGUAACGGGGCUCAAGCCAUGAGCCGAAGCUUUGGAUGCACAGUGAUGUGCGUGGUAGCGGAGCGUUCU